rnacentral:rRNA from 1 species
CGCGUAGGCGGCCUGCCGUGUCGGGUGUGAAAUCCAUGGGCCCAACCCAUGAAGUGCGCCCGAAACUGGCCGGCUCGAGUGCGGGAGGGGAGAUCGGAAUGCAGGGUGUAGCGGUGAAAUGCGUUGAUAUCCUGCAGAACACCGGUGGCGAAGGCGGAUCUCUGGAACGCAACUGACGCUGAGGCGCGAAAGCAGGGGGAGCAAACA